GAUAGCAGAAUUGACCUGGAAAGUCAAGCCAUAGAAGGUGAAAGCCCUGUAAGCGAAAUCGGAAGUUGGCAUGAGAGCGUACCUGAGUACCGCGGGACAUGUGGAAUCCUGUCUGAAUCAACCGGAACCAUCCGGUAAGGCUAAAUACUCCUGAGAGACCGAUAGCGAACUAGUACUGUGAAGGAAAGGUGAAAAGAACCCUGAACAAGGGAGUGAAAAAGACCCUGAAACCGUGUGCCUACAAGCGGUCGGAGCCUGGUAACGGGUGACGGCGUGCCUUUUGCAUAAUGAUCCUACGAGUUACUCCUCAUUGGCAAGGUUAAGAAUUUAAGGUUCGAAGCCGAAGCGAAAGCGAGUCUGAAUAGGGCGCUUAGUCAGUGGGGGUAGACGCGAAACCUUGUGAUCUACCCAUGGGCAGGUUGAAGCUGUGGUAACACACAGUGGAGGACCGAACCGAUAAACGUUGAAAAGUUCCGGAUGACCUGUGGGUAGGGGUGAAGGCCAAUCAAACUGGGAAAUAGCUCGUACU
rnacentral:rRNA from 1 species